rfam:Oryza sativa (indica cultivar-group) chromosome 8, whole genome shotgun sequence.
UAUAAGUGUAGUCAUGAGUUUCCGUGUCCAACUUUAAUCGUUCGUCUUAUUUAAAUAUUUUUUGAAAAACCUAUAAGAAUAAGUUACGUAUAAAGUACUAUUCAUGUUUUAUAAUCUAAUAACAAUAAAAAUACUAAUCAUAAAAAAAUUUCAAAUAAAACGGACGAUCAAAGUUGGAUAUGGAAACUCAUGGUUGCGCUUAUU